AAGCAAUGAUUCUCAUGAACCAGCUUCAUUGGGCUGAACAUUGUGUGCGGAUGCCAUACUCUCGCCUCCCAAAACAAGCCAUCUACUCUCAGAUCACCCAUGGUCAGAGAUCCCGUGGUGGUCAGAGGAAACGCUACAAAUAGACACUGAAAAUGUAUCUCAAGAAAACUGAUGUGGACAUCACAAGCUGGGAGGAGCAAGCCACCAACUGACCUCAGUGGUCAGCCUCCAUCAGGUAGUGGCCCGCUUCGAGGAGAAGCGCCUUUCCCUCAAAGCUGAAGGAAGGAAAAAGAACUUUCUCACAAUGGGGAGCUGACCCGCUAGGAAAUGUCUGUACCUACUGCGGGCAGAUCUGUGGUUCCAGGAUUGGACUCCUGAGAUAUCUCAGGACCCAUAAGUAAAUCUGUGGUAGAGAUCAUCCGCGAACCAAGGAACUGCCGAUGAUGAUGAUUUCAGCUGAAAAAUGUUGCCCAACUCUAGUGAUAAAAAACGUCACAAGAGAGCAUGCCCAAAACAGGAAACAAACAAACAAAAACUGCCUGUGUUUGACUUUGCAAACAUAACAAAAUGGAUGAAGGUAGCAGGGGUGGGGAGAGAACCACUGUACUAAAAUUUUUAACAGCUAUUACACAUUAUUAAUUCCUCUUUUUUGUCUUUUAGAAGAAAUUCUUGCUGAACUUGCAACCUUGCGAUCUGAAAUGAAGAAAGACAAAGAUUCAGCUCUGUAAAUCUCUCCCCAUCAGACAUUUUCUCCAGCCCCUUGGAUCGUAUUUGUGGCUCUUUCCUGCACCUUUCCAAUUUCCAAUGGCCUGUGUCAAACACCGACGCUGCAGCAGUCCCGGGAGGAGGAGCCAUGGGCCGAUCACCUGUGCCCCCUGCCGCAGCAUCCGGGCUCCUGGCCCAUCUCAGGCCCCGGGCAGCGCACCAGGAAGGAGGAGGAAGCCCCGCCUGCUAAUGCAGCAGCCCCAGGCCCAGGCCCAGCCCCAGCCCGGCGGGUUCCAGUCCUGCGGGGACUGAACACCAUGGCCAGGAAGGUGACCGGCAUCAUGGGCAUCCUGCUGCUGUGCCUGCCGGUGGGGCCUGCGGGAGCCGCCAGGCUUCAAGGUGAGCGGGGGCCACCCAACGUGUGGAGAACACAGGGGCAGCCAGAGCCCCAGGGCCAGGCAGAGCCGGGAGCCAGGGGCAGCCAGAGCCCCAAGGCCACGCCAGGCGCCUGCAGCUCCAGAGAUGCCCAGUGCAGAGGAGCUGUCCCGUCCCCCUGGCAGCAGCCAAGUGAACUCAAAGACUCAGUUCCCUGGCAGACAGCGAGCCCCCGCGUAACGCUGAGCUCAGGGCUCGUGGGGCGGUCCCUGCAAGCUCCCUUCCUUGCAAAUUUUUUUUAUUUUCUCAUUAAAAAAAUACAUGGCUAGAAAACCGUAGCGGGUUUAGAUACAGUUCCCCGCUCUAGGAGCAGCUCUAAGGGCUUGAUUUUUCCAGAGUUGAGUGCCCACUGUCGUAUUGAAGUCAGUGGGAACUGUGGACUUUGCCAGCACUUGGGCAGAGCCAGCCCUGUCUGAAAGAAAAAUGGGCUGGUUUUCUUCUUGCAGAAAAUUUUGAUAUUUUUUCCUGCAAAAAUUCAAAACCUGAUAAUUUUCAGCUGAAACCCCUCCCAAAAUUUGAUCCACGCCCAAAAUCAUCUGUUUUUGGGCCAAAAUCUUUUGAGUUUGCAGUAUUUGAGUUUUUCCACAGAAAGCAGAUCCUUUUUGUGAAAAAUGUUUAUUAGUUGAAAACCUGUUUCCAUCAAAAAACAGUUUUUUUGGAUAACUUUUGACCCUCCCCCCGACUGAUUUCACUGAUAUGUUGCCUUUUUUUAAGAUUUGUUAGUUCCAUACAGCUGUUAAGAGAGGCAAGGGAGCACAUUGCCAGCCAUGUAUUUUAGAACUAGUAAUUUCCUAGUAAUUAUUACCCCCUUGACAACAUUGUGCUUUUGUUUACCAAUCCAACCUCCCAUCAAACAUGUGCAAACACAUAAUGGGCCAGAUUCUCAGCGGGUGUAAAUCAUGCUAAUGCCAUGGAAAUGAAGAGAUGUUGAUUUACGCCUGGAUCAUAUUCACUGUACUUUAUGUAGUUUUGAAUGGCUUAUGUCUCCUGCAGUUGAUUCCUCACUGGGCCUUUGUUCUUUAACAAACUGCAUUAAUAAUGAUCAAUAUUUUAUUUUGUAGCUAGGGCUUUGGGGAACUUUUCCCGAGGUUUCCCCACUGUUAGUGGCUUUCGAAUUUCUGAGUACUGCUGUGGUUUUGGUGUUGCUGGGGGAAUAUGAAUUUGCUUUUCAGACCUGCACCUACUUUCCUUGUGCACCUCCCAAAGCCAAAGGGAAUUAGAGUGCCCAGGGAAUGCAGGAUCUGGUCUAGAGAUAGCUCCAGCCCAGCCUCACAGGAACAAUGGAAACUGGCUUAGGCAGGCAGCAACAAAAUAAUCUGUUAUUAGACCCUCAAGGGAGUCACCCUGUUCCUUUAGGCAGGUUGGGACUGCGAUGAGGUAAUGCUCACCUGACUCUGAAGGGGACGGGGAGCAAAGUCAGAAGGAAAGAAAGGCCAUGCUCUCUCUCUUCCACCUACAUCUACAGACACCACUACCAUCAAGCAACUGAAAUGUUGAUCAAAGGGGAGAGCCUGACUGAAAAGUAAUCAGCCAGCCUGUGGUGA